rnacentral:rRNA from 1 species
CACGUAGGGUGCGAGCGUUGUCCGGAAUUAUUGGGCGUAAAGAGCUCGUAGGCGGUGUGUCGCGUCGGCCGUGAAAACCUGCAGCUUAACUGUGGCUUGCGGUCGAUACGGGCAUCACUGGAGGUUCGGCAGGGGAGAUCUGGAAUUCCUGGUGUAGCGGUGAAAUGCGCAGAUAUCAGGAGGAACACCGGUGGGCGAAGGCG